GCAAGUCGAGGGGCUGCAUAGUUCGCUUGCGAACUGAUGGCGACCGGCGCACGGGUGCGUAACGCGUAUGCAACUUACCCUGAACUGGGGGAUAGCCAGUGGAAACACUGAUUAAUACCCCAUAGUACUACAGAUUGGCAUCAUGAAGUAGUUAAAGAAUUUCGGUUCAGGAUGGGCAUGCGUAAGAUUAGCUUGUUGGUGAGGUAACGGCUCACCAAGGCAACGAUCUUUAGGGGUUCUGAGAGGAAGAUC
rnacentral:rRNA from 1 species